AUUCCAGCUCCAACAGCGUAUAUUAAAGUUGUUGCAGUUAAAAAGCUCGUAGUUGGAUUUCUGGCCGAGUGUCCCCAGGCCAGCAUGACGUUUGGUCCUGGGCGCUCUGCCAUCCUUCUGUCAACCUUCGCCUCGUUCAUUCGUGGCGCUGGGGCUCAGAUAUUUUACCUUGAGAAAAUUAGAGUGUUUCAGGCAGGCUUUCGCCGGAAUACAUUAGCAUGGAAUAAUGGAAAAGGACUUCAACCUCUUCUGUUGGUCUGAGAGGCUGUAGUAAUGAUUAAUAGGGAUAGUUGGGGGCAUUAGUACUUAACUGUCAGAGGUGAAAUUCUCCGAUUUGUUAAAGACUAACUUAUGCGAAAGCAUUUGCCAAGGAUGUUUUCAUUG
rnacentral:rRNA from 1 species